rnacentral:tRNA from 1 species
GAGGGUAUAGCUCAGCUGGUAGAGCAGCGGCCUUUUAAGCCGUUGGCCGAGGGUUCGAAUCCCUCUACCCUCACUA